UCACAAAAAAAAAACGUUUUCAGUUAUAAGGCUCUAAAAAUGUUACUGAAUGAUAAAUCAAUGGAUUUCCAGCAAAUAUUGAAAUAAUAAAGGUUCUCAAUGAAAUAUGUGCAGUGUCACAUGUUUAGUGUAAAUUGUCACAUGACCAGAGCUGUUUACUUCCUGGUUCCACCAUGAGAAGAGAAUGGCUGCAUCAAAGCUCCCAAACAAAAGUUUGACUUUGGGUCAAGUUCUGGAUAUGUUGGAUCUAGGUGACUGCCCAGACAAGGCAUGCAACAUUGCAGUUAUCCCUCAAAAUGAGAAAGAUGCUGUCCUCAGUGAUUGUGAUGGGUCAGAUAUGGAUGAAAGGCCAUUUGCCAGCCAGGUUGUUGAAUGUAUAUGCUGAACCUAUGCAAACAGAUCAUGACAGGAACAACGUUAUCAGUGAUGACCUACCCCUCACUAACCCUAACCCUGUUGAAGAUCAGGCAAGACAAAGCUUCUCACUGGCCAACCAACACAAUGCACCGGUUCCAGAGAUGUCGUCAUUGUGACAAACGCACUACAUACGCAUGUGAGAAAUGCAAAGCGCCACUGCACAUUGAGUGCUUCAAGAUAUACCACAGACAGUAGAAAAAUGAGAUAAGAGAGAAUGAAAAAGGGCUGAAAAAGACAAUAUAAGAAAAAUAGAAAAGUCGAUAAAGGGUGAGGAGAAGCAGUACAAAGGACUCCAGGAAGAAAAGAAAAGGAGACGAUCAAGACAAUCAAAAUGACUGAAAUGUUUUUGGAAAAGAAGGUCAAUUGAUUCAAGACAUAUUGUAUGACAGUAGAUCUGACUGAUCACAGUUCAAAGUAGUGACGCGCAAACUAAUCUUGCACUUGGUUCUGAAGCCUACCUCUAUGAUAUAUAUAUAUAUAUAAGCACUCAAUGUGCAGUGGGUUUUUUAUAUCUAUAAAUGUAUUUUGUUCAGUGUAGGUCUCUACUUGAAUGCAUGUCCUACAGGCUACCUCUAUCCUAAAUGUUACCUCUAUGUUCAAUGUGAAUGAAUCACACCACUGCUAUUCAGUUGUUAGUGAAUGUUGCACUAAAAUGUCACAAUGACAAUGUUACAAUGAAUAAGUUCAAAUGUUACAAUAAAGUUACAAUAUUUAUGUUUCAGUACAUGUUGCACUAAAGUAACAAUGUUACAAUGUAUGUUACAAUAAAAGUAACAAUGUUGAAAUA